AAUUUUUGCAGGUACAUAGUAAGUGUAUAUAUUUAUGGGUUACAUGAGAUAUUUUGAUAUAAGCAUGCAAUGUGUAACAAUACUAGGGUAAGUGGGGUAUUUAUUUCCCUGACGUUCACAUGUUGAAACCUAAUUCUCAAUGUGACAGUAUUUAGAGGUGAGGCCUUUGGGAGGUGAUUAGGUCACGAGAGUAGAGCCCCCAUGAAUGAAAUAAGUGUCCUUAUGGAUAUCCCAGAAAUCUUCCUUGAACCUUUUCCUCAUGUGCGGAUAAACAGAGAAAAAGACCGUCUAUGAACCAGGAAGAGAGCCCUCCCCAGGAACCAAAUCAGUCCUCACCUUGCUCUUGGACUUUCCAGACUCCAGGACUGUGAGUAGUAAAUUUCUGUCAUUUCUAGGUAGCCCAGUUUAUGGUAUUUUGUUACAGCAGCCUGAAUGGACUAAGACACUUGGGAAAUGGAAAGAGGGAGUAAGAUAGAUUUUUAAUAUCCAUACUUAUUAUUAUUAUCUUGAACACACACACAUGAGGUUUCUAACACAGAGAAAAUUAUUAUUUACUCAUAGCAAACAAACCUGUGGUUUCCUGAUGCCUCAACUUUUUAACCCUGGGGUAAAGCAAUGAGAUUCAGAUGUUAUCCUAUACAUACUAAUUUGUAUUGUAGGAGAGUAAUUCAGAAAAAAAUAAUUGAGGUAUUUUGCUCAUUGGGAAGCAUGUUUUUACUCUGACCUUUUGGAAUGUAUAUAAAUCUCUCUAAGGGAAAGAUAACAUUAUUGUGUUCAGCUUUUGAACUUAGGGACAUCUUUGAAGUCCCAUGUCUCAGUAACCUGUUCCCUCCCCCAGUUCCUCAAAUAUAUUUUUCUAGAAUUCUUUAUUUAAAUCGUACAUAAUUUAUCUUUCCAAACUGGCUCAUGUCCCGACUUUCUGUAAAAUUUACUCAGAAAUCUUUACGUAUCAAAGCUGAGUUUAUUAAGCUUACUAUAGAAAUGGAAAACUCCACAUUCACCAUCUCUUAGUAUCAAAAGGCGGGAAAAAGAUAAUUUAUAGAUUUUGUCCCCUGGACUCAAAUAGAUUAAUGUGUAUAUUUCAAGGCAAGAAAAAUGACUGGGAGUUAAUGUCAGAGUUUGUAACAUAUUUGUUGAAGAUUAGUAGACACAGCAAGACCAGGCUCUCAAAAUCAACCUCAAUGAGUUGGCUAUCUUCCUGAUGAGUGAGCACUUUGUCCAGGUGAGCAGGUUAUUGUGUGUGUUGGGGGGGUGUCUUUGUCGUGAGUCUAGAGUUGACAAAUUUUACACCUUUCUUAACUUUUAUUUUUUUCUACUUGCUCACUGCAUGACUUGAAAUAGUUUACAGGUCACUGCAUGAUAUGAUUUGGAUCUGUGUCCCUACCCACGUCUCAUGCUGAAAUGCAAUCCCCAGUGCUGGACGUGGGGCUGGGUAAGAGGUGAUUGGAUCAUAGGUGCAGUUUCUAAUGAAUGGCUUAGCACCAUCCUCCUUGGUAUUGUCUUGAUGAUACUUGAGUGAAUUUUUGUGAGAUCUGGUUGUUUAAGUGUGCGCCACCUCCCCCUUCUCUGUUCCUCCUGCUCCAGUCAUGUAAGAUGAGCCUGCUUCCCCUUCGUCUUCCACCAUGAUUGUAAAUUUCCUGAGGCCUCCCUAGAAGCUCAGCAGAUGGCCGACAUCAUGCUUCCUUUAAGCCUGCAAAACUAUCUUCUGAGGAGAUGACAAGGGACAGGAGAUCAAGUUCAAUGACAUGGCCAAUGACUCAGCCAAUCAUGACUACAUGACUGACUACAUGGUGAAACCCCAAUGAAAACUCUCACCAUCUAGCUUGGAGAGCUUCUGUGGUUGUCAAUGCUCUGUGUAUCAUCACAUUUCAAUGUGCCAUGAGGGUGACACUUUCUGAUUUCACAAGGAGAAGACAACUGGAAGCUUAGGGUCUGAGACUCUGCCAGACUUAGCACCAUGUGUUUUUUCUCUGGCUGGUUUUGAUUUUGUAUCGUCUCUGCUAUAAUGAAGCUGUAAUCAUAAAUGUAGCACUUUCCUGAGUUCUGUGAGUCAUUCAAGUGAAUUCUCAAACCUGAAAGGAACCCUCAAGUGUGUAGCCAGUUGGUUAGAAGUGAGGAUGUCCCUGAGAUCCUUGAGCAUGCAGCUGGUGUCUGAAGUAAGGUGGUCUCAUGGAGGACCUGUAAAAUUUGGACUAACUCUAGAUAGUUAGUGUUAAAAGUCAUUGCACUGCUGGUUUCCCUUGCUGCUAAAUACUGAGCAAUUCUCUGUAAUGAUCUCAGCCCUUUUUGGACCUGCCAUCAUUUGUAGAAUGCCUGUGGCCCCUAUCCAGAGUAUUCAAGUAAUUCUGAGUGUCCUGAAAACCACAGGGAGCCUGGACCACUGCCUGAGGCUCAUAUGGCCAUCUGCCGUAGCUUCUGGCAUACAAUUAUUUUGUCUUAGUGAAAGUAGCUGUAAGCACUACAGGCUAGU
rnacentral:lncRNA from 1 species